GGUGCUGCAUGGCUGUCGUCAGCUCGUGCCGUGAGGUGUUGGGUUAAGUCCCGCAACGAGCGCAACCCUCACCCUUAGUUGCCAUCAUUAAGUUGGGGCACCCUAAGGGAACUGCCGCAGUUAAUGCGGAGGAAGUGGGGAUGACGUCAAGUCCUCAUGGCCCUUAUAUCCAGGGCUACACACGUGCUACAAUGGGCGGUACAAAGGGUCGCGAACCUGUAAGGGGGAGCUAACCCCAGAAACCGUUCUCAGUUCGGAUUGGAGUCUGCAACCCGACUCCAUGAAGUUGGAAUCGCUAGUAAUCGCAGAUCAGCACGCUGCGGUGAAUACGUUCCCGGGCCUU
rnacentral:rRNA from 1 species